AUACUUACCUUGAUGGGCGUACUGGGGAUCAAGAAAUCCGGUACGCAGAGAGGAGUGCCUGCAUUGCACAUCGCGGAGUCCUCCUCUCUCGAUAGCCCUUCGGGGCCAUCGCUGUUGUAAUUUUUGAUUUUCAACCCUUUUCAUUGU
rnacentral:snRNA from 14 species